rnacentral:rRNA from 1 species
CAGCAGCCGCGGUAAUACGUAGGGCGCGAGCGUUAAUCGGAAUUGCUGGGCGUAAAGCGUGCGCAGGCGGUUUUGUAAGACAGGCGUGAAAUCCCCGGGCUCAACCUGGGAAUGGCGCUUGUGACUGCAAAGCUAGAGUGCGGCAGAGGGGGAUGGAAUUCCGCGUGUAGCAGUGAAGUGCGUAGAUAUGCGGAGGAACACCGAUGGCGAAGGCAAUCCCCUGGGCCUGCACUGACGCUCAUGCACGAAAGCGUGGGGAGCAAACAGGAUUAGAUACCCCCGUAGUCCCUGUCUCUUAUAC